rnacentral:rRNA from 1 species
GCAGGCUGAGAUACCGGUAGCAAUAAUCGGUGCGACAGCGGCGGGCAAAUGGGACAGUAAUUGUGUAGGUACCUACCCCGAGGUCUGGGAUAGCUGCGGGAAACUGCAGGUAAUACCGGAUAAUGUCUUAGGACCAAAGGUGUGAUUCCACCUUGGGAGGCGGCCUGCAUCCUAUUAGCUUGUUGGCGGGGUAACGGCCCACCAAGGCAACGAUGGGUAGCGGGUGUGAGCUCAGUCACGACCCGCGUCCAUUGGGACUGAGAUACUGCCCAGACACCUACGGGUGGCUGCAGUCGAGGAUCUUCGGCAAUGGGCGAAAUGCCUGACCGAGCGACGCCGCGGUGCGGGAUGAAGGACCUUCCGGCGUUGUAACAACCGCUGUCGUAGAGUGAGGAACGUGCAAGAUGGGCUUCUCCCUUAGCUUGUUUGACCUAUUACUAGGAGGAAGGUGCGGCCGCUAAGUUCGUUGCCAGCAGCCGCGGUAAGACGAACCUGUACAAACGUUACUCGUGAAUUACUGGGCUUAAAUGGGUGCGUAGGCUCUGCGCGGAAAGUUGGGUGUGAAAUCCCUCAGCUCAACUGGCGGAAUUGCAUCCAAUAACUGCCGUGCUCGAGGCGAGACAGAGGUAUAGCGGAACUCAAGGUGGAGCGGUGAAAUGCGUUGAUAUCUUGAGGCAACACCUGGUGGCGAAGGCAGGCUUACUGGGUCUCUUCUGACGCUGAGGCACGAAAGCUAAGGUUAGCAAACUGGGAUUCAGAUACCCCGGUAGUCUUAGCUGUAAACGAUGAGCACUUUGAUUGAAGGGUCCUCCAUAGCCUUUCAGUCGUAGCCGAAAGUGUUAAGUAGCUCCGCCUGGGGAGUAUGGUCGCAAGGCUGAAACUCAAAGAAAUUGACGGGCGGACUCACACAACGCGGUGGAGGAUGUGGCUUAAUUCGAGGCUACGCGAAGAACCUUAUCCUUAGUCUUGACAUGCACGGAUUAACUCGGCCUGAGAGCCGAAGCCAGGCUUCGGCGUACAACCGAUGCACAGGUGUCUGCAAUGGCUGUCGUCAGCUCGUGUCGUGAGAUGUCGCGUUAACGUCGCUUGAACGAUGCGAACUACCCUUGGUCUCUAGUUGCCAUGCGGCGUAAAUGCCGGGGACUCUAGACGAGACCGCUCGGCCGUUAAGCCGGAGCCAGAAGGUGGGGAUGAUCGUCAAGGUCCUCAUGGCCCAUUAUGACUAGGGCUGCACACGUACCUACAAUGGAGCGCACAAAUGGGAAGCAAACGCCGCGAGGUCGAGCAACAUCCCAAUAUAAAGCGCUCCCUAGUUACGGAUUGUAGGCUGCAACUCGCCCUUAUGCAUGAAGCUGCGAAUCGCUAGAUAACAAUCUCGCGGCGUCAGCAUUACCACUGCUACG